UACAUUUUAUGUUCAUAUCAGCGGAUGCCAAGCUUGGGUCUCCAGAUGUUGCUAUACUAUAACCCCCAUCCCAUUAAGUAAAGUAUUGUAAUGAGUUGCUAUCCAGAAAACUUUUCAUACAUGUAUGUUUUAUAUGUAAGUACUAUAUCUUUCUUUCUUGGCAUUUGCUGUUUGUUGUCAAUGCAGGGCUUUUUAUCUUCACGUAGUUCUUUAUGCCUGGCUUUUGAUGGAGGUUCCAGUCUAGUUUACCUUGGUCCUUUUUGGAAUCCCCCUCAUCUUUUGUGUUGGCUUCAUGUGGAAUGAGCAACUUCAAUGUGUGUACCCAUGUGGAGGGUGCCAGUGCAUAUGGGAAAGGUGGCAAGAUUGCAGGAAUGAGAAAAUCAUCUCAAGUGCCUUUGGACUUUUACAGCAUUUGAAACCUACAAAUGAGAACUAAAUAGAUGUAUUUUAUCAGCCAUCUGGGGUUAUUAAUUAUACUACGCAAUGUGAUAUGUUAUUAAUUAUAUUACACAAUGGUUUAAUUGCU